GACGGGGGGGGCAAGCGUUGUUCGGAAUUACUGGGCGUAAAGGGCUCGUAGGUGGCCAACUAAGUCAGACGUGAAAUCCCCAGGCUCAACCUGGGAACUGCGUCUGAUACUGGAUGGCUUGAAUUCGGGAGAGGGAUGCAGAAUUCCAGGUGUAGCGGUGAAAUGCGUAGAUAUCUGGAGGAACACCGGUGGCGAAGGCGGGUCUCUGGGCAGUAACUGACGCUGAGGAGCGAAAGCGUGGGGAGCGAACAGG
rnacentral:rRNA from 1 species